rnacentral:rRNA from 1 species
AUUGAACGCUGGCGGCAGGCCUAACACAUGCAAGUCGAGCGAGUGGCGGACGGGUGAGUAAUGUAUGGGGACUGCCCGAUAGAGGGGGAUAACUACUGGAAACGGUGGCUAAUACCGCAUACUAUCGGAUAACCCAUAUGGGAUUAGCUAGUAGGUGGGGUAAAGGCUCACCAGGGCGACGAUUUCUAGCUGGUCUGAGAGGAUGAUCGGCCAAAUUGGAACUGAGACACGGCCCAGACUCCUACGGAGGCGGCAGUGGGGAAUAUUGGACAAUGGGCGAAAGCCUGAUGCAGCCAUGCCGCGUGGAGGAAGAAGGCCUUAGGGUUGUAAAGUACUUUCAGCGGGGAGGCGUUACCCGCAGAAGAAGCACCGGCUAACUCCGUGCCAGCAGCCGCGGUAAUAC